rnacentral:rRNA from 1 species
UGCCAGCCGCCGCGGUAAUACGGAGGGGGCUAGCGUCGUUCGGAAUUACUGGGCGUAAAGCGCGCGUAGGCGGUGUAUCUAGUCAGAGGUGAAAGCCCUGGGCUCAACCCAGGAACUGCCUUUGAUACUGGUACACUUGAGUUCGGGACAGGUGAGCGGAAUUCCCAGUGUAGAGGUGAAAUUCGUAGAUAUUGGGAAGAACAACAGUGGCGAAGGCGGCUCACUGGCCCGUUACUGACGCUGAGGCGCGAAAGCGUGGGGAGCGAACAGGAUUAGCUA